rnacentral:ncRNA from 1 species
GUUGCCGCGAGGCAGGGUCUGGAGGAAGCUGAACCCAAAGCUGCGGGGCGAUGAACAAAAACCGGAUAUGAGGCGUGGUGCAUCCGGGCGAGCGGGCACGUGACCGCGAAGCCCUCCAUCUGCGGUUGGGAUGUACUUUGUAAAUUCUGGCGGGAAAUGGUGGCGAGAAAUGGGGUCAGA